rnacentral:rRNA from 1 species
UAAGCGACUAAGCGUACACGGUGGAUGCCCUGGCAGUCAGAGGCGAUGAAGGACGUGCUAAUCUGCGAUAAGCGUCGGUGAGGUGAUAUGAACCGUUAUAACCGGCGAUUUCCGAAUGGGGAAACCCAGUGUGUUUCGACACACUAUCAUUAACUGAAUCCAUAGGUUAAUGAGGCGAACCGGGGGAACUGAAACAUCUAAGUACCCCGAGGAAAAGAAAUCAACCGAGAUUCCCCCAGUAGCGGCGAGCGAACGGGGAGGAGCCCAGAGCCUGAAUCAGUGUGUGUGUUAGUGGAAGCGUCUGGAAAGGCGCGCGAUACAGGGUGACAGCCCCGUACACAAAAAUGCACAUACUGUGAGCUCGAUGAGUAGGGCGGGACACGUGGUAUCCUGUCUGAAUAUGGGGGGACCAUCCUCCAAGGCUAAAUACUCCUGACUGACCGAUAGUGAACCAGUACCGUGAGGGAAAGGCGAAAAGAACCCCGGCGAGGGGAGUGAAAAAGAACCUGAAACCGUGUACGUACAAGCAGUGGGAGCCUCUUAAUGGGGUGACUGCGUACCUUUUGUAUAAUGGGUCAGCGACUUAUAUUCUGUAGCAAGGUUAACCGAAUAGGGGAGCCGAAGGGAAACCGAGUCUUAACUGGGCGUUAAGUUGCAGGGUAUAGACCCGAAACCCGGUGAUCUAGCCAUGGGCAGGUUGAAGGUUGGGUAACACUAACUGGAGGACCGAACCGACUAAUGUUGAAAAAUUAGCGGAUGACUUGUGGCUGGGGGUGAAAGGCCAAUCAAACCGGGAGAUAGCUGGUUCUCCCCGAAAGCUAUUUAGGUAGCGCCUCGUGAAUUCAUCUCCGGGGGUAGAGCACUGUUUCGGCAAGGGGGUCAUCCCGACUUACCAACCCGAUGCAAACUGCGAAUACCGGAGAAUGUUAUCACGGGAGACACACGGCGGGUGCUAACGUCCGUCGUGAAGAGGGAAACAACCCAGACCGCCAGCUAAGGUCCCAAAGUCAUGGUUAAGUGGGAAACGAUGUGGGAAGGCCCAGACAGCCAGGAUGUUGGCUUAGAAGCAGCCAUCAUUUAAAGAAAGCGUAAUAGCUCACUGGUCGAGUCGGCCUGCGCGGAAGAUGUAACGGGGCUAAACCAUGCACCGAAGCUGCGGCAGCGACACUAUGUGUUGUUGGGUAGGGGAGCGUUCUGUAAGCCUGUGAAGGUGUGCUGUGAGGCAUGCUGGAGGUAUCAGAAGUGCGAAUGCUGACAUAAGUAACGAUAAAGCGGGUGAAAAGCCCGCUCGCCGGAAGACCAAGGGUUCCUGUCCAACGUUAAUCGGGGCAGGGUGAGUCGACCCCUAAGGCGAGGCCGAAAGGCGUAGUCGAUGGGAAACAGGUUAAUAUUCCUGUACUUGGUGUUACUGCGAAGGGGGGACGGAGAAGGCUAUGUUGGCCGGGCGACGGUUGUCCCGGUUUAAGCGUGUAGGCUGGUUUUCCAGGCAAAUCCGGAAAACCAAGGCUGAGGCGUGAUGACGAGGCACUACGGUGCUGAAGCGACAAAUGCCCUGCUUCCAGGAAAAGCCUCUAAGCAUCAGGUAACAUUAAAUCGUACCCCAAACCGACACAGGUGGUCAGGUAGAGAAUACCAAGGCGCUUGAGAGAACUCGGGUGAAGGAACUAGGCAAAAUGGUGCCGUAACUUCGGGAGAAGGCACGCUGAUAUGUAGGUGAAGCGACUUGCUCGUGGAGCUGAAAUCAGUCGAAGAUACCAGCUGGCUGCAACUGUUUAUUAAAAACACAGCACUGUGCAAACACGAAAGUGGACGUAUACGGUGUGACGCCUGCCCGGUGCCGGAAGGUUAAUUGAUGGGGUUAGCGGUAACGCGAAGCUCUUGAUCGAAGCCCCGGUAAACGGCGGCCGUAACUAUAACGGUCCUAAGGUAGCGAAAUUCCUUGUCGGGUAAGUUCCGACCUGCACGAAUGGCGUAAUGAUGGCCAGGCUGUCUCCACCCGAGACUCAGUGAAAUUGAACUCGCUGUGAAGAUGCAGUGUACCCGCGGCAAGACGGAAAGACCCCGUGAACCUUUACUAUAGCUUGACACUGAACAUUGAGCCUUGAUGUGUAGGAUAGGUGGGAGGCUUUGAAGUGUGGACGCCAGUCUGCAUGGAGCCGACCUUGAAAUACCACCCUUUAAUGUUUGAUGUUCUAACGUUGGCCCGUAAUCCGGGUUGCGGACAGUGUCUGGUGGGUAGUUUGACUGGGGCGGUCUCCUCCUAAAGAGUAACGGAGGAGCACGAAGGUUGGCUAAUCCUGGUCGGACAUCAGGAGGUUAGUGCAAUGGCAUAAGCCAGCUUGACUGCGAGCGUGACGGCGCGAGCAGGUGCGAAAGCAGGUCAUAGUGAUCCGGUGGUUCUGAAUGGAAGGGCCAUCGCUCAACGGAUAAAAGGUACUCCGGGGAUAACAGGCUGAUACCGCCCAAGAGUUCAUAUCGACGGCGGUGUUUGGCACCUCGAUGUCGGCUCAUCACAUCCUGGGGCUGAAGUAGGUCCCAAGGGUAUGGCUGUUCGCCAUUUAAAGUGGUACGCGAGCUGGGUUUAGAACGUCGUGAGACAGUUCGGUCCCUAUCUGCCGUGGGCGCUGGAGAACUGAGGGGGGCUGCUCCUAGUACGAGAGGACCGGAGUGGACGCAUCACUGGUGUUCGGGUUGUCAUGCCAAUGGCACUGCCCGGUAGCUAAAUGCGGAAGAGAUAAGUGCUGAAAGCAUCUAAGCACGAAACUUGCCCCGAGAUGAGUUCUCCCUGACUCCUUGAGGGUCCUGAAGGAACGUUGAAGACGACGACGUUGAUAGGCCGGGUGUGUAAGCGCAGCGAUGCGUUGAGCUAACCGGUACUAAUGAACCGUGAGGCUUAACCU